CGCGUAGGCGGCCACCGCAAGUCGACUGUGAAAUCUCCGGGCUUAACUCGGAAAGGUCAGCCGAUACUGCGGGGCUAGAGUGCAGAAGGGGCAACUGGAAUUCUCGGUGUAGCGGUGAAAUGCGUAGAUAUCGAGAGGAACACCUGCGGCGAAGGCGGGUUGCUGGGCUGACACUGACGCUGAAGUGCGAAAGCUAGGGGAGCGAACG
rnacentral:rRNA from 1 species